AACGAACGCUGGCGGCAUGCCUAACACAUGCAAGUCGAACGAGACCUUCGGGUCUAGUGGCGCAUGGGUGCGUAACGCGUGGGAACCUGCCCUUAGGUUCGGAAUAACUCCCCGAAAGGGGUGCUAAUACCGGAUAAUGUCUUCGGACCAAAGAUUUAUUGACUUUGGGUGGGCCCUCGUUGGAUUAGCUAGUUGGUAGGGUAAAAGCCUACCAAGGCGACGAUCCAUAGCUGGUCUGAGAGGAUGAUCAGCCACACUGAGACUGAGACACGGCCCAGACUCCUACGGGAGGGGGCAGUGGGGAAUAUUGGAAAAUGGGCGAAAGCCUGAUCCAGCAAUGCCGCGUGAGUGAUGGAGGCCUUAGAGUUGUAAAGCUCUUUUACCCGGGAUGAUAAUGACAGUACCGGGAGAAUAAGCUCCGGCUAACUCCGUG
rnacentral:rRNA from 1 species